UACGAAGGGUGCAAGCGUUACUCGGAAUUACUGGGCGUAAAGCGUGCGUAGACGGUUAUUUAAGUCGGGUGUGAAAGCCCCGGGCUCAACCUGGGAAUUGCAUUCGAGACUGAAUAGCUAGGGUACGGUAGAGGGAAGUGGAAUUUCCGGUGUAGCGGUGAAAUGCGCAGAUAUCGGGAGGAACACCAAUGGCGAAAGCAGGUACCUGGACUAUUACUGACACUCAGCUGCGAAAGCUAGGGGAGCAAACAGG
rnacentral:rRNA from 1 species